GAGUUUGAUCAUGGCUCAGGAUGAACGCUGGCGGCGUGCUUAACACAUGCAAGUCGAACGAAGCGGGAAGGAAGAAGUUUUUCGAAAUGGAUUUUUUCUUUGCUUAGUGGCGGACGGGUGCGUAACACGUAGGUAACCUGCCCUGUGCUUGGGAAUAACUCCGGGAAACCGGUGCUAAUGCCGAAUAAUAUCGCCUGUCGGCAUCGAGAGGCGAUCAAAGAAUUUCGGCACAGGAUGGGCCUGCGCCGGAUUAGCUGGUUGGUGAGGUAACGGCUCACCAAGGCGACGAUCCGUAGCCGACCUGAGAGGGUGAUCGGCCACACUGGAACUGAGACACGGUCCAGACUCCUACGGGAGGCAGCAGUGGGGAAUAUUGCACAAUGGGGGAAACCCUGAUGCAGCAACGCCGCGUGAGCGAUGAAGGCUUUCGAGUCGUAAAGCUCUGUCCUAUGGGAAGA
rnacentral:rRNA from 1 species